rnacentral:rRNA from 1 species
UGCGUAGGUGGUCCGUUAAGUUCGUUGUGAAAUCCCUGGGCUCAACCCAGGAACUGCUUCGAAUACUGGCGGACUUGAGGCCAGUAGGGGUCACUAGAACUGACGGUGGAGCGGUGAAAUGCGUAGAUAUCGUCAGGAAUGCCGGUGGUGAAGACGGGUGACUGGGCUGGUUCUGACACUGAAGCACGAAAGCGUGGGGAGCGAACGGGAUUAGAUACCCCGGUAGUCCACGCCCUAAACGAUGCAGACUAGAUUGCAGCGGGUCUUACCCCGUUGCGGUCGGAGCGAAAUUGUUAAGUCUGCCACCUGGGAAGUACGGUCGCAAGGCUAAA